GAUGAACGCUGGCGGCAUGCCUAACACAUGCAAGUCGAACGAACACACGAGGACUUUGCUCCUCUGACGUUAGCCGCGGACGGGAGAGUAACAUGUGGACAACCUACCUAUAAGACUGGGAUAACUUCGGGGAACCAUAGCUACUACCGAAGAAUUUAUUGAACCAGAGGGGGCCCUAGUGGAAUACGGUUUUUCUGUUGGUUAAAGAUUGAUCCGCGCCGCAUUAGCUAGUUGGCAAGGUAAAGGCUUACCAAGGCGACGAUGAGUAGCCGACCUGAGAGGGAGAACGGCCACCCGGGCACUGAGACACGGCCCAGACUCCUACGGGAGGCAGCAGUAGGGAAUCUUCCGCAAUGGGCGAAAGCCUGACGGAGCAACGCCGCGUGAGUGAUGAAGGUCUUCGGAUCGUAAAGCUCUGUUGUCCGGAAAGAACUAAUGUGUCAGUAACUGGGCGGGUCAUGACGGUACCGGAAGAAAAAGCCCCGGCUAACUACGUG
rnacentral:rRNA from 1 species